AGGGUGCGAGCGUUGUCCGGAAUUACUGGGCGUAAAGAGCUCGUAGGUGGUUUGUCGCGUUGUUCGUGAAAACUCACAGCUUAACUGUGGGCGUGCGGGCGAUACGGGCAGACUGGAGUACUGCAGGGGAGACUGGAAUUCCUGGUGUAGCGGUGGAAUGCGCAGAUAUCAGGAGGAACACCGGUGGCGAAGGCGGGUCUCUGGGCAGUAACUGACGCUGAGGAGCGAAAGCGUGGGGAGCGAUCAGG
rnacentral:rRNA from 1 species